UUUUUACUCUCCAAAGCUCUCAUCUUAAAAUACGUUGUCCAUUCAAAGUACAUAAUGUAGCGUGUGAGGUGUCUUGGCUAAUGUGAAGGAAACUAAAUGUCAUGUGUUUUUAGUCACAGUGUAAAAGAAGGCUUUUUUUUUUACUCUCCAAAGCUCACAUCUUGAAAUACGUUGUCCAUUCAAAGUACGUAAUGCAGCGUGUGAGGUGGCUUGUCUAGUGUGAAGGUAGCUAAAUGUCAUGUGUUUUUAGUCACUGUGUAAAAGAAGGCAAUUUUUUUACUCUCCAAAGCUCACAUCUUGAAAUACGUCAUCCAUUCAAAGUUAAUGUAGUGCUAAUGUAAAUGUAGCUAAAUGUCAAGUGUUUUUAGUUACAGUGUAAAGGAAGGCAAUGUAUUUUACUCUCUCUGAAGCUUCCGUCUAUAAACUGCCGUCCAUUCAGAGCAGAGAAGCGUGUAGUGUGUGAGGUACCUUUCUUGGGUCAUGUAAAGCCCCGUUCACACUGUGCCGACUCUGGGCCACAACUAUCCAUGACUCUAGGGUACACGAGGUCUUGGGUGUUGAUGUGAAAGGGUCGGGCAUGUCUUGAAAGAGGUCUUGAGACUGUUGCCGAAUGCUGCGCCGACAUGCUGGCAACUAGUCGGCAAAACACCAAGACCCCAAUAAAACCUCCCCCCCCUUCUUGGAGUGUGGGAACCAACUUGUCAAAUGGAAAACUCGCUCGGUUGUCGUGGCCCAGAGUCGGCACAGUGUGAACGGGGCAUUAAGGUCGCUAAGUUAAUGCAUAUCUGUUGAGGUCACAGCAAAAAUAAAAGGGCUUAAGAAUCUAACACCUCCUUCAUGUACAUCAUCAUUAUCAUCAUCAUCAUCACCAUUUGCAAUCUUCUGAAGGAACGCUCCCUUCACUAACUUAUCGCUAGACAUUUACAACACACCAUCGUCAUCACCAUCAUUAUCAUCGUCACCACUUGCAUGUCUCCUGAUGGAACACUUAACACUCCCUUCACUAACUUAUCACUAGACACUUACAAUACAUCAUCACCAUCAUCACUGUCAUCAUCACCACUUGCAUAUCCCCUGAAGCAACACUAACACUCCCUUCACGGACUUAUCACUAAACGCUUACAACACAUCACCACCAUCAUCAUCACCACUAGCAACACCAACAACACCGCCACCACAACACCAACACCUCGGACAACACAACACACCAGAAACCGUCCCCUGCCAGGAAAACAAAAUGUGUUGACUGACUGACUGACUGACUGACCCGUCCCUUGUCUGUUAAUUUUCCUUGAUUUCAUGAA